GGCUUUAUAUUCAAUAAUGAUAGUAGAUUGCAAAUCUAAAGGUGUUUUAAACUAAAGCUU
rnacentral:tRNA from 1 species